rnacentral:rRNA from 1 species
UACGUAGGGGGCAAGCGUUGUCCGGAAUCAUUGGGCGUAAAGAGCGCGUAGGCGGCCCAGUAAGUCCGCUCUGAAAGUCAGGGGCUCAACCCCUGAAUGCGGGUGGAUACUGCUGGGCUAGAGUCCGGAAGAGGCGAGUGGAAUUCCGGGUGUAGUGGUGAAAUGCGUAGAGAUCCGGAGGAACACCAGUGGCGAAGGCGACACGCUGGGCCGUACCUGACACUGAUGCGCGACAGCAUGGGGAGCAAACAGG